UAUUCAUUCAAAAAAUUUUAAAUUUAUUUUAAAAUUUUUUUUUUGUGCGUACGAUAAUUUUUCAGAAGAUCCGAUAAUUUGACGGCACUGUGUCGAUCAGACAAGCAAAAGUUUCUGGGAACACUGAUCGAGGGUCUUAUUAUGUGACUGAACAGAAACUUUAGUUAAUCCCUCCGAUAGCGUGAGGGAAUAAACCUUGGACUUGAGGCGGAGAGGACACCGGGUUCGAUUCCUGGAUGAUACAGAAUUAUUUUUUCGGUGACCUAAACUUCUUUUUAAUUUGAGUGAUAGAAAUUUACGAUGUUGCAUCGUAUAAAUUACGAUGUUUGAGUUCUGGUCCGGCACUGCAAUAUCCGAUACUAAAAAUUACGAUGUUUUCAUUGUAAUUUUUCGUACAAUUUUCUUUCCGUGUAGAGGUAAAAGGGCGUAUAGCUAAGGGUUAAUAGGGAUUUGUGCUGAAAGGGCGUAUAAAAAAAUUUUUUUUUGCAAUUUGGUUUGAAAUUGUCUGAAACGUGAAAAUCUGUGAA